AGAGCCUACCCUUGUUUUACAUUUUGCUGAUUUCUGCUGCUGGAUCUCUUUUGAUUGUAGCUGCAGUUGUGAUGUACUGCAGGAAAUGUAGAAAAACAGUCGACACCCAGGAGGAAGGCAGAAUGGAUGCAGCAUUGUGUAAACCAACAACAAGAAAAAUGAAAUCAAAGACGGAUACUGUGUAUGAAAAUGUCCCCAAAACACGAUGAUCAGAUACUAUCUACUGGAACUGAUAGAGCAUACUGGACAAUACCUCACGCACACAUUUUGUUUUUGUUCACAUUUAUUCCCUGCCAUGUCACCAUUUGUAUCACAAAAAUAUUCUUUAGUUUUUCAUAUAGAAAUUUACAUAACUGUCAUUAUUAAAUGUUAA